UCUCCGUUGGUGGACCAGCGGAGGGAUCAUUACAGGACUCGCAAGACUCCUACAACCCUGUGAACUUAACUAUAAGCACGUUGCUUCGGCGGGUGUCUCGGAGGGGGUUCUCCCUCCCCGAGACGCUAAACCCGCCGGCAGCCUACUAUACUCUGUCUCUUUGCGUUGGCAUCUCGAGUACAAUCAAACAAGUUAAAACUUUCAACGACGGAUCUCUUGGUUCUG
rnacentral:misc_RNA from 1 species